UACGUAGGGUCCGAGCGUUAAUCGGAAUUACUGGGCGUAAAGCGUGCGCAGGCGGUUUUGUAAGCCAGAUGUGAAAGCCCCGGGCUCAACCUGGGAACUGCAUCCGAUACUGGAUGGCUUGAAUUCGGGAGAGGGAUGCAGAAUUCCAGGUGUAGCGGUGAAAUGCGUAGAUAUCUGGAGGAAUACCGGUGGCGAAGGCGGCAUCCUGGACCGAGAUUGACGCUGAUGAGCGAAAGCUAGGGGAGCAAACGGG
rnacentral:rRNA from 1 species